rnacentral:rRNA from 1 species
UUUUAUGAGAGUUUGAUCCUGGCUCAGGACGAACGCUGGCGGCGUGCCUAAUACAUGCAAGUAGAACGCUGAAGUCUGGUGCUUGCACUAGACGGAUGAGUUGCGAACGGGUGAGUAACGCGUAGGUAACCUGCCUCAUAGCGGGGGAUAACUAUUGGAAACGAUAGCUAAUACCGCAUAACAGUAUUUACCGCAUGGUAGAUAUUUGAAAGGAGCAAUUGCUUCACUAUGAGAUGGACCUGCGUUGUAUUAGCUAGUUGGUGAGGUAACGGCUCACCAAGGCUUCGAUACAUAGCCGACCUGAGAGGGUGAUCGGCCACACUGGGACUGAGACACGGCCCAGACUCCUACGGGAGGCAGCAGUAGGGAAUCUUCGGCAAUGGGGGCAACCCUGACCGAGCAACGCCGCGUGAGUGAAGAAGGUUUUCGGAUCGUAAAGCUCUGUUGUAAGGGAAGAACUGUGAGAAGAGUGGAAAGUUUCUCACUUGACGGUAUCUUACCAGAAAGGGACGGCUAACUACGUGCCAGCAGCCGCGGUAAUACGUAGGUCCCGAGCGUUGUCCGGAUUUAUUGGGCGUAAAGCGAGCGCAGGCGGUUUGAUAAGUCUGAAGUAAAAGGCUGUGGCUUAACCAUAGUACGCUUUGGAAACUGUCAAACUUGAGUGCAGAAGGGGAGAGUGGAAUUCCAUGUGUAGCGGUGAAAUGCGUAGAUAUAUGGAGGAACACCGGUGGCGAAAGCGGCUCUCUGGUCUGUAACUGACGCUGAGGCUCGAAAGCGUGGGGAGCGAACAGGAUUAGAUACCCUGGUAGUCCACGCCGUAAACGAUGAGUGCUAGGUGUUGGGUCCUUUCCGGGACUCAGUGCCGCAGCUAACGCAUUAAGCACUCCGCCUGGGGAGUACGACCGCAAGGUUGAAACUCAAAGGAAUUGACGGGGGCCCGCACAAGCGGUGGAGCAUGUGGUUUAAUUCGAAGCAACGCGAAGAACCUUACCAGGUCUUGACAUCCCGAUGACCGCCCUAGAGAUAGGGUUUCUCUUCGGAGCAUCGGUGACAGGUGGUGCAUGGUUGUCGUCAGCUCGUGUCGUGAGAUGUUGGGUUAAGUCCCGCAACGAGCGCAACCCCUAUUGUUAGUUGCCAUCAUUCAGUUGGGCACUCUAGCGAGACUGCCGGUAAUAAACCGGAGGAAGGUGGGGAUGACGUCAAAUCAUCAUGCCCCUUAUGACCUGGGCUACACACGUGCUACAAUGGCUGGUACAACGAGUCGCAAGUCGGUGACGGCAAGCUAAUCUCUUAAAGCCAGUCUCAGUUCGGAUUGUAGGCUGCAACUCGCCUACAUGAAGUCGGAAUCGCUAGUAAUCGCGGAUCAGCACGCCGCGGUGAAUACGUUCCCGGGCCUUGUACACACCGCCCGUCACACCACGAGAGUUUGUAACACCCGAAGUCGGUGAGGUAACCUUUUAGGAGCCAGCCGCCUAAGGUGGGAUAGAUGAUUGGGGUGAAGUCGUAACAAGGUAGCCGUAUCGGAAGGUGCGGCUGGAUCACCUCCUUU